rnacentral:tRNA from 1 species
GAGGGAAUAGCUCAAUGGUAAGAGUGUGUGCUUAGCAUGCAAAGAGGUCCUGGGGUUCAAGCCCCCCUACCUCCA